UCGGCCUAACAAAUCGCGUGAUGCUGUCAGCUUUUGGCCCAACGUUUCCCCUCCCCCGAGCCCGUCACCUCCCCUUCUCCCCAGCUCCUCGCCUUCGCCUCUCGCAUCAACGAACUAAACGCUCCGCUCCUCGCCUCUAGGCUCGCCAAGCUUCUCCUGAUCUCUUCCUCCCGCUCUCUGCCCGUCACCAAGAUCGCAUCCGCCAAGCGCAACUUCGGCCUCUCGGACUUCCUGGUCUCGUUGGUCCCGAGGAAUAUUAUGAUCUAAACCGUUCAAUGCUGGAGUUAGUCUUUGCUCCUGCAGAGGAAUGGGUUGGACGAAGUGAAACUGAAAUCACCGAGAUCUGUUUACAAAACCGUCCCAAAGUGUGAACCUUGCCGACCUCUCCCAUUUAUAUAGUUUCUACAUAAUUAUUGCAGGUUUAACAAAGUAGGAAAAGAAACCUUGCCGACCUAACACAACAAUGAAAAGUCCCGAUGAUACAAGAGAUAACAAAUCGUCAUGAUAAUAGAAUCUUAUUACAUAGGAUAGCCAAAUAACAUGGUGGUAAGGUUUGCACAUGCAGUCCAGCAUAGAAGAAAAAACUUGCAAUGCGCAAAUUGGAAACAUCCUCAAAUUCUUCCAUGGUGGUUUGUAAUGUCAUAGGAAGAAAUGAGCAACAAAGAAGAAGGGACAGCAGCAGCAGCACCGUCUCAUAAGCAUCUCAAUCACUUUAUUUCACUCAGGCUGAUCAAGUUCAUGCUGAACGGAUGGUGUGGCUUGCACCCUCUUGGAGGAUUGUGGACGAUAAGUGAUCCCCAUCACAAGGCAAAGUAAAUUGUUGCACCAGAUUGGCCAAUGCACAAAAAGUUGGCCCGAUGGAGUACGAGCUGCUUCACAGCAUCAUGAUGAACUGGGAAUUAACAUUGCCCUUGAAAAAAUAUUAGAAAGCUGAAUUGCUCCAAUAGCCUAGUAUCAGUCUUUUGAUUAUCAAAACUUGGUAGGGUAGAGAUAGCUUGUCAGAAAUCGUGUAUGAAUAAAUCAGAGCAAAAGUAACAAUAGAAUAUUACAAACACCAAUUGGUAUAACAGAAUUACUUGGCUAGGCAUUAGACAAAAAUUCACAUGUACAUCUAUGAAAUUACUUUGUGCAAAUCUUAGUUGAGUUUAGUGAUUAAA